rnacentral:sRNA from 1 species
UUAAUAAAUACACAUCAGCAAUAUAGAACGAGGGCAGACCUCGCAACCUUAAAUAAUUAAAGUCUGGUGUCCCUAUGAUGAAUAACAUGACAACCGUAAAAUACUGGUCAUGGCUCGGCGUAUUCUCAGCGUCGAUCCUCUUCUGGUGUCAGCUCCUCUGGCUGGCCUUGCACUAAAUCGUAAAACCUCGCCACGGCGGGGUUUUUUGUUUUA